GACGAACGCUGGCGGCGUGCUUAACACAUGCAAGUCGAACGGAAAGGCCCUGCUCUUGUGGGGUGCUCGAGUGGCGAACGGGUGAGUAACACGUGAGUAACCUGCCCUUGACUUUGGGAUAACUUCAGGAAACUGGGGCUAAUACCGGAUAGGAGCCUCUGCUGCAUGGUGGGGGUUGGAAAGCUUCGGCGGUUGGGGAUGGACUCGCGGCUUAUCAGCUUGUUGGUGGGGUAGUGGCUUACCAAGGCUUUGACGGGUAGCCGGCCUGAGAGGGUGACCGGCCACAUUGGGACUGAGAUACGGCCCAGACUCCUACGGGAGGCAGCAGUGGGGAAUAUUGCACAAUGGGCGGAAGCCUGAUGCAGCAACGCCGCGUGCGGGAUGACGGCCUUCGGGUUGUAAACCGCUUUCGCCUGUGACGAAGCGUGAGUGACGGUAAUGGGUAAAGAAGCACCGGCUAACUACGUG
rnacentral:rRNA from 1 species